CUGUACAGAAACAAAUCCUACCUAAGCCCUACAGUAAAGGAAAAGAUUGUACAGCAAAUGCUGAUGCCAAUCAUUGAUUAUGGGGAUGUAGUAUAUGCAUCUGCAUCGCAAUCCCACAUUAAUAAACUCAACACAUUGUAUAACUCGUUCUGCCGAUUUGUGCUACAAUGUAAUUACAGGACCCACCAUUGUGACAUGCUAAAAGAACUAAACUGGC
rnacentral:lncRNA from 1 species